AUUACCUUAGUAACGGCGAGUGAAGCGGUAAAAGCUCAAAUUUGAAAUCUGGUACUUUCAGUGCCCGAGUUGUAAUUUGUAGAAUUUGUCUUUGAUUAGGUCCUUGUCUAUGUUCCUUGGAACAGGACGUCAUAGAGGGUGAGAAUCCCGUUUGGCGAGGAUACCUUUUCUCUGUAAGACUUUUUCGAAGAGUCGAGUUGUUUGGGAAUGCAGCUCAAAGUGGGUGGUAAAUUCCAUCUAAAGCUAAAUAUUGGCGAGAGACCGAUAGCGAACAAGUACAGUGAUGGAAAGAUGAAAAGAACUUUGAAAAGAGAGUGAAAAAGUACGUGAAAUUGUUGAAAGGGAAGGGCAUUUGAUCAGACAUGGUGUUUUUUGCAUGCACUCGCCUCUCGUGGGCUUGGGCCUCUCAAAAAUUUCACUGGGCCAACAUCAAUUCUGGCAGCAGGAUAAAUCAUUAAGAAUGUAGCUACUUCGGUAGUGUUAUAGCUUUUUGGAAUACUGUUAGCCGGGAUUGAGGACUGCGCUUCGGCAAGGAUGUUGGCAUAAUGGUUAAAUGCCGCCCGUCUUGAAACACGGAC
rnacentral:rRNA from 1 species